rnacentral:tRNA from 1 species
GUUAGUGUGGCAGAGUGCGGUGUUGCGAAAGACCUAAACUCUUUAAACAGGGGUUCAAAUCCCCUCACUAACU